rnacentral:rRNA from 1 species
ACGGGAGGCAGCAGUGAGGAAUAUUGGUCAAUGGGCGGAAGCCUGAACCAGCCAAGUCGCGUGAGGGAUGAAGGUAUUAUGUAUUGUAAACUUCUUUAGCUGUGGAGCAAUAAUCUCCAUGUAUGGAGAGAUGAGAGUACACAGAGAAUAAGGAUCGGCUAACUCCGUGCCAGCAGCCGCGGUAAUACGGAGGAUCCGAGCGUUAUCCGGAUUUAUUGGGUCUAAAGGGUGCGCAGGCGGCUUUCUAAGUCAGUGGUCAAAUCGUGGUGCUCAACGCCAUCCCGCCAUUGAUACUGGAGAGCUUGAUUGCGGUCGAGGUUUGCGGAAUUCGUCGUGUAGCGGUGAAAUGCAUAGAUAUGACGAAGAACACCGAUUGCGUAGGCAGCAGACCAGGCCGUAAAUGACGCUCAUGCACGAAAGUGCGGGGAUCGAACAGGAUUAGAUACCCUGGUA